CACUCUAAGUAUGAACGCCAAGC
rnacentral:miRNA from 1 species